UUCCAAACAUUGGUCUGCACUUUCUGUACAUUUUUAAAUCAUCACAGUCUGAUGAAUCUGCACAUUUUAGUUAAAAUCAUAGACUUGUUUUUGCUGUUCCUCAUUGUCAAACUCACAGCUGAAGGGUUUCUGUAUCUUAUGUUUUCUCCUACAUAUUAUGUUGUUUUUAAAUUAUUUACGU